rnacentral:rRNA from 1 species
AGAGUUUGAUCCUGGCUCAGAUUGAACGCUGGCGGAAUGCUUUACACAUGCAAGUCGAGCGGCAGCGCGGGGCAACCUGGCGGCGAGCGGCGAACGGGUGAGUAAUACAUCGGAACGUGCCCAGACGUGGGGGAUAACUACUCGAAAGAGUGGCUAAUACCGCAUACGAUCUAAGGAUGAAAGCGGGGGAUCGCAAGACCUCGCGCGUUUGGAGCGGCCGAUGGCAGAUUAGGUAGUUGGUGGGGUAAAGGCUUACCAAGCCCGCGAUCUGUAGCUGGUCUGAGAGGAUGAUCAGCCACACUGGGACUGAGACACGGCCCAGACUCCUACGGGAGGCAGCAGUGGGGAAUUUUGGACAAUGGGCGAAAGCCUGAUCCAGCCAUUCCGCGUGCAGGAUGAAGGCCCUCGGGUUGUAAACUGCUUUUGUACAGAACGAAAAGCUCUUUCUAAUACAGAGAGUCCAUGACGGUACUGUAAGAAUAAGCACCGGCUAACUACGUG